rnacentral:miRNA from 14 species
UCCUCCUGGUUUGCCUUUUUCUGCUUCCGAUGCAUGGUCUUUGAGUCCCUGGGGGUAGAGAUGAAGGGGCACU